CAUCUGCUCUUACUGCACUGCGUCCGCCGUCUUUGUUUCUGUCUCUGUCUCUCUCUCUCCCUUCGUUCUCUUUCUCUCCCCCUGCUACCCCCCCCACACAGUUACACACACACACACACACACACGCAGUGUGAAAGAUGCGAGCCAUAGCAUCUCAUAACAUGAAGGCCAUCCAGCUCCAUCCUCCCACUGCUGCUUGAACAAUAUGCUUAACACGUAGUGCCGCAGUCGCUGCUUGGAUUGAAUGCGUUCAUGCACAGAUUUUAUCAUCUUGUUACUCAAACGACUGAUGGCUUCUGUCCCUGCCUGAAAAUUUCCUAAGAGGUAGCAGUUCUAGGACACAGAUGCUGGAGGGAGUGGAGGAAGAAGCUUAAUUACCACAUACAGCUCUUCCAUAUGCAAGGUCUCUGGGGCAAAACUGUCAUUCUGUCUGAAGCCAGACCCUCAAUGUCAGACUAAGAGAGUCGGAUGGAGACUACAUCUUCUGUGUGUGUUGCAAUGGGAGGACUUCUCUCCACCGAGUUUAGUGAGGGUGCUCAUAGUCUGAAGACAGGUAGAAACAACCAUAUAUCAAUCUUUAAACAAGAGAUUUCAAUGGUGCUUGAAGUAAAUCAAUAUUAAGCAAACAGCUGAGUUUUUGGGCCUAAUAAUGAAAAUUUGCCACAUCUGUGCUUUGAAAAACUGUCUGGAGCUGGGGAGUUAAUGCAAAUUUAAGAGGAUGUACAGUGAAGUAGAGAGUGGUGGCAAGGUGAACCACUCAGGAGAGGUUUGUAAAAUAUUCUGAUCCAUGGACAUGGUAUAUCACACCACUUAUUUAGUUAUUCUUAAUGUCUCAGCAAUGUUUUUUAGGUUUUAAUAUAUAGGUCUUGCUCACUUUUUAAAUUAUUUCUAAUUUAUAAUUUUGAUACUACCCUAAAUGGUAUAUUUUAGAACUUUAUUUAUUUUGAAAAAAUUAUAGGUUCAUGGGAAGUUGCAAAUGAAGUACAGAGAGGUAUCAUAUGCCUUUCACAUAGUUUCUCAAAAUGGUUACCUCUUACCUAGCUUAACUACAGUAUCAAAACCAGAAAACAGAAAUUGGUACAAUAUAUGUGUGUAUGUGUGUCUGUGUGUGUGUAGACAUUUUAUCUAUGUGUAUUCUUUUAUUUUUUAAACAAUUUUUGAUGUAUAAUUGAUAUACAAAAAGCUGUUCAUUUUUAAUGUAUACAACUUUAUGAGUGUGAAGAUAAGUAUUUACCUAUGAAACCGUCAACACAAUCUAUGGCAUAAACAUACCCAACAUCUCCAAAAACUUCCUCCCAUCAUCUUUAUUAUUAUUAAUUUUUAUAAGAAUGUAACUUAAGAUUAUCUUCACAAAUUUAUAAGUAUACAAUAAAAUAUUGUUAACUGUAGGCACUAUGCUGUACAGUAGAUUUCUAGGAUUUAUUCAUCUUGCACAAGUGAAACUUUAUACCCAUUAGCAGCAACUCCCAUUUUCCCCUCACCCAACUUUAGCAAUCACCAUUCUACUUUCUGCUUCUAUGAGUUUGACUACUUUAGACACCUCCCAUAAGUGGAAUCAUGCAGUAUUUGUUCUUCUGUGACAGGCUUAUUUCACUACCAGUUUAUAAUGUUUUUCAGUCUAUCUCUUUGUAUAGCUUGUAUAAUGGUUUUUCUAGGUGUUACAUUAUAUACACAUAAUUUAUCAC